UGGUAUUUUAACUAUACAAAGGUAUUGUAAUAAGAUUUUAAUUGAAUGCUAAAAGAAUGGAAGUUUAAGAAAAAACUUUUUUAAAAAUAAAAAUUAAAUUUUUUUUAAUUUGUGCAAAACCAAUUAUUUAUAUUAAAGACAAGAAGACCCUAUGAAUUUAUGAUUAAAUAAACUAAAAAUUUUUAGUUUAUUUAAUCUUGAUUGGGGCAAUCAAAAAAUAUUAAUAACUUUUUUAAAUUUAAAUGAUCUAUUAUUAAUAAUCUAAUGGAAUAAAUACUCUAGGGAUAACAGCGUAAUAAUUUUUGAUAGAUCUUAUAGACAAAAUAGUUUGCGACCUCGAUGUUGGAUUAGGAUUCUUUUUU
rnacentral:rRNA from 1 species